UUUCCAGACUCCUACGGGAGGCAGCAGUGAGGAAUAUUGGUCAAUGGCCGGAAGGCUGAACCAGCCAUGCCGCGUGAAGGUCAGUGCCCUAUGGGCGUUAAACUUCUUUUGUGCGGGAGCAAUAAUGGUCACGUGUGGCCAGACGAGAGUACCGUACGAAUAAGCAUCGGCUAACUCCGUGCCAGCAGCCGCGGUAAUACGUAGGGAGCGAGCGUUGUCCGGAAUUACUGGGUGUAAAGGGAGCGUAGGCGGGAUUGCAAGUUGGAUGUGAAAACUGCGGGCUCAACCCGGAGCGUGCAUUCAAAACUGCGAUUCUUGAGUGAAGUAGAGGCAAGCGGAAUUCCUAGUGCAGCGGUGAAAUGCGUAGAUAUUAGGAGGAACACCAGUGGCGAAGGCGGCUUGCUGGGCUUUUACUGACGCUGAGGCUCGAAAGUGUGGGGAGCAAACAGGAUUAGAUACCCGAGUAAA
rnacentral:rRNA from 1 species